CAUGCAGUCGAGCGGAACGAGUUAUCUGAACCUUCGGGGAACGAUAACGGCGUCGAGCGGCGGACGGGUGAGUAAUGCCUAGGAAAUUGCCCUGAUGUGGGGGAUAACCAUUGGAAACGAUGGCUAAUACCGCAUGAUGCCUACGGGCCAAAGAGGGGGACCUUCGGGCCUCUCGCGUCAGGAUAUGCCUAGGUGGGAUUAGCUAGUUGGUGAGGUAAGGGCUCACCAAGGCGACGAUCCCUAGCUGGUCUGAGAGGAUGAUCAGCCACACUGGAACUGAGACACGGUCCAGACUCCUACGGGAGGCAGCAGUGGGGAAUAUUGCACAAUGGGCGCAAGCCUGAUGCAGCCAUGCCGCGUGUGUGAAGAAGGCCUUCGGGUUGUAAAGCACUUUCAGUCGUGAGGAAGGYGGYGUCGUUAAUAGCGGCRUCRUUUGACGUUAGCGACAGAAGAAGCACCGGCUAACUCCGUGCCAGCAGCCGCGGUAAUACGGAGGGUGCGAGCGUUAAUCGGAAUUACUGGGCGUAAAGCGCAUGCAGGUGGUUUGUUAAGUCAGAUGUGAAAGCCCGGGGCUCAACCUCGGAAUAGCAUUUGAAACUGGCAGACUAGAGUACUGUAGAGGGGGGUAGAAUUUCAGGUGUAGCGGUGAAAUGCGUAGAGAUCUGAAGGAAUACCGGUGGCGAAGGCGGCCCCCUGGACAGAUACUGACACUCAGAUGCGAAAGCGUGGGAGCAAACAGGAUUAGAUACCCUGGUAGUCCACGCCGUAAACGAUGUCUACUUGGAGGUUGUGGCCUUGAGCCGUGGCUUUCGGAGCUAACGCGUUAAGUAGACCGCCUGGGGAGUACGGUCGCAAGAUUAAAACUCAAAUGAAUUGACGGGGGCCCGCACAAGCGGUGGAGCAUGUGGUUUAAUUCGAUGCAACGCGAAGAACCUUACCUACUCUUGACAUCCAGAGAACUUUCCAGAGAUGGAUUGGUGCCUUCGGGAACUCUGAGACAGGUGCUGCAUGGCUGUCGUCAGCUCGUGUUGUGAAAUGUUGGGUUAAGUCCCGCAACGAGCGCAACCCUUAUCCUUGUUUGCCAGCGAGUAAUGUCGGGAACUCCAGGGAGACUGCCGGUGAUAAACCGGAGGAAGGU
rnacentral:rRNA from 4 species